AGAGGUAAUGACCUUAAGUUGCACCAGGGGAGGUUCAGGUUGGGUGUUAAGAACAAUUUCUUCUCAGCAAGAGCAGUGAGGCAGUGGCACAGGCUGCCCAGGGAGGUGGUGGAGUCACCAUCCCUGCAGGUGUUCAAGAGCCGUGUGGAUGUGGCACUGAGGGAUGUGGUCAGUGGGCAUGGGGGCAAUAGGCUGACAGUUGGACUGGGUGAUCGUAGAAGUUUUUUCCAGCCUUCAUGAUCCUAUGAUUUUAUGAAAAUGUUUCUAUACAUCACUCUGCAGAGAGAUUUCCUCAGGGCUUCAAGGGGGGAGUCUGGAACGAAGUGGCCUCACCUUCGCAUCAGUUUCUAUGAAGAGUAAAUCCCUUCUGGAUGGUUUGCAUUUUAGGACGGGGAGAGCAAAAGUCCUCAAAAACUUCAGAUUCAGGACAUAAAUACCUGUACUUUAGAUAGCCCACAUGAAUUCUCUGCACUUCAAUCGGCAUUAAAAAUGCUGGGUGAUCCAGCAGCUACGCAGAGUUUAACUUCAGGGCUGAUGCUAAAGGCAUGAGAGCAGCCCAUUCCCAGCUCACACCGUUCUUCUAUUUCAGCAUCUUAUUUGCCCACAUCUGGGAGGGUACAUCUCAAAUGGAUGCGAGAGCCACACAGUGAUGCCAACGGUGGGAAAUCCAAUAUGACCGCAUUCGCUUUUUGCAUUCAGUUUUCCUGCUUCUUCUUAAAAGGGAAAAACACAAAAGGAAAAGGGGUAAAAAAAAAAAAAAAAAAAAAGACACUUUGAAUAACUUUGCUGCUCAAGUGUUUUACAUCGGCAGUGGCAAGGGGCCAAGAGGGCAGAGUUCUGUGCAUAUUCAUGAGUAGGAGGUGGCCUUUAUAUGGUGCCGUAUGAAAUUGACGGGAGGACUUGCAUGCAAAAAGCAGCGAUUUUCUGUUCCUCACAAUGUUAUCAGCAGAAGGGAAUCCCCUCAGAGAAGGCCCAGCAUCCCCCUGCCCCAUCGAAGUGCCUCAGGGCUCGACUUCACCCGUAAAUACAAAGUUAGAAACCAUAGAACCACUAAGGUCGGAAAAGGCCUCUACGAUCGUUGAGUCCAACUGUCUACCGGGCAGCCGUGAGUGCAGCGAAGUUGGAGAGGAACUAUGAGAGACAUAUGGUCACCGUACUGCCUAAAAAACCCUAAUUGCUAUCUUCAGGUGGCCGCGUGCCCUAUCCCUGUAAUGAGUAAGAUAUUGAAAGUCCUGAACUGUUUAUGUGACAUUUCAAUAAAUAAUGCGGAGAUUUCACAGCAUUUCCAUAUUCCUCCUUUAAUGUCUGAAUGUCUCUGACUUAAUCCGAGUUCCUUGGCAUUUAUUGCUGUUUGUUACACUAACAAGUGAGAUUAUGAGAAUUCUAAUGAAGGCUUCCAGUGAAAAACUCUGUGAUUAAAAUGCCAUAAUAACAGUUGCAUGCAUUUAUGUGCCUGAUUACCAUAAUCUAUUUAGCACAAGUAAACAUACAAACAGAAGGAGAAAAGCAAGCACACUGACACUUCAGCUAAAGGAGAAUCUAAAAUGAGGGAGAAACAAUGUAAAUAUGUAAAUGGCUUUGUGUAUUCUUUUUAUCUUUUUUUCUCAUCCUUGCUUUUGCCCCCCCCCCCCCCCCGUUUGCUAAUGAGACAUCUAUGGCUCUGUGCUGCCGUCCCUCUCUGCCCGGCUGAGGGGCGCAUUCGGGCCAUCUGCUGGGGCCGCCCUCUCGCACAAAGCCACCGGGCACCCGGGGAGGUGCUCGCAGCAACCUUUGACACCACGGCUGCCAGGGACGGUGCCGGACGGGCCCAGGGCUUUGAUGCGUUCCUCCAAAUGCAGAGUUCAGCUGUUUCUCCGUCAGCGUGAGUCCCAGCGAGAGGCGAGAGGGCUGCGGCCCCCCGAAAUCAUGACGAACGGAGGAGGAAUCUCGCCAAGUUUCUGGCGUGGACUUUCCAAGUUGGCAGACGUUGUCACCAUGCAAAAGUUUGUUGCGUUAUCAAAAUGGUCGCUCUGCAGAAUGUGAACGCCUCAGGACUGGGGGUCUCUUCCGUUGCUGGAUCCCACUGACAGAACUCUGGGGUUUGGUGAUACGGGUGCAUCCUUCUGCUGGCACCAUCCCAGCUGAAAGAUUUUUCUCCUGCACGUGGGAUGGGGACGGGGCAAAGGAACAACACGGGGGCAGUUUUCAUUCCGGUAGGAGAUCACAUGGGAAGCCAUACCAAAGUUUUCAUAGAAUCAUAGAAUCAAUCAUAGAAUAGUAGAAUCAGGAUCAUAGAAUCACAGAACCACAGAGGGUUUGGUUUGGAGAGGGCCUCAAAGCCCACGCCUCCCCAACCCCUGCCAUGGGCAGGGCUGCCCCCCACCAGCUCAGGCUGCCCAUGGGCCCAUCCAACCUGGCCUUGAGCGCCUCCAGGGAUGGGACAUAGUGUUCUUCUGAUCACUGAAGCUCAGACAGUAUGUCUUCAUUUAUCAGGAGCUCUACAUCAAAACAAAGACGUGGAAAAUGGAAAAGAAAUGAAGGAUAGCAUCAGAGUGCCAUAUACAGAUAAAUAGCUAAAUGGAAAAAAAAAAAAAAAAAAACAACCUGCAGGAAUGUUGCUCAGGAAACUCAAAAUUAGAACUAAACAUCCACAUGGGAAAGAAGAAUAAGGGAGUAAAAUGUAAUUUUCUAGACUAAAUCCAGUCCUGACAAGGAUGCUCCACUCCUUGCUGAGGAGAUGCAACCAGUUGUGCUGAUGAAAGAAGGUGAGAACAGAGAGCUGUUUCCUUGGCUCUUGAUAGCUUAAGAGACAAUUUUAGCUUCAAUUUGCUCCUCACAUAUACUCAUGAGGAUAUUUUGGCGCUAUGGCAGCCCACUUCUGUAGGUUUUGUGCAUGAGGAAGAGCAUCGAGCCCAGCAGAACCAAACGUUUUCCCUCACAUCACAUCUCCUCUCUAACAGAGAGAAUCACAUCAUAGAAUCAUAGAAUGGCCUGGGUUGGAAAGGACCACAGUGAUCAUUGAGUUUCAUCCCCCUGCUAUGUGCAGGGUCGCCAACCAGCAGACCAGGCUGCCCAGAGCCACAUCCAGCCUGGCCUUGAAUGCCUCCAGGGAUGGGGCAUCCACAGCCUCCAUGGGCAAUCUGUUCCAAUGUGUCACCACCCUCUGGGUGAAAAACUUCCUCCUAAUAUCCAAUCUAAACCUCCCCUGCCUCAGUUUUAAACCAUUCCCCGUUAGCUCCUAGGCUAAGCUGGAAAAGCUUCCCCAUCCCACAGAAAGGUGCUGCAGAGACACUGCUUAGCUCAGAACCAGCACGAGAAGGUCCUCACCAGGACCUCAGCCCAAAGCUGGCACAGCUCCUGCCUGGUGCUUCUGCCACCCCUUGGCCAAAAGCAGACAGCAUUGCCAAUAAGAGGGGAACACGGCGGUAACGCUGAGCAGCUGUUAAACCAAGCAGCUAUCGCACCGCUUCAUAACCUCCAGGAAUCGCCUUCUGUUAAGAUGAUGGCACGCAUCUCAAAAUGCAUUCUUGAAGUUCUUUCUUCCAGCGAGGUACUAAAUGAAAUCAGAUUGGAUCUUGUCAAAAUAAAUAAAUAAAUGAAUAAAUAAAUAAAAAGCAGCACGUUGUAUUAAACACAACGGACGGUGGACAAAAUACUUACACGUGUUACACACCUGCACUGAAGAGCUGAUCCUGGCCAAGGUUCUUUUGACGGCAUGUCAAGGUCGGGAAAAGCCAGUCCCUGUUAAUGUCAGCGCAGUGGGGCUCGUCCCGUUUGAAUGAAUAGCAGCGCCUGAGUGGGGCGCGGCCGUGCCGAGAGAUGAAGGCACACAGAACGCAGCCCAGGCUGCAGUCAGACGGAGCCGUCUGCUUUUGUGCCGCAGGUGACAAAACUUCAUCAAUAAAGGUUUGGGGUUUGUUGGUUGGUCGGUCGGUUGGUUUCAGCCAGAUGAGAACAGGCAAUGGCUCUUUCCUGAGUGUCUCUAAUCCUGAAAGUAUCACACACACCAGCUCCGGGAUUUCGGAGCCUUCCCUUCGGUGCCUCCUGCGAGGAUCGGGAGCUUUUCCAGCCGCUGGCUCAAUGGGGAGACACGCUGCGUUUUGGCAGAGCACGUGGGGCUGAAACGCGUCCAUCGAACGGGUGCGAACAGAAACAAACACAGCACUGGAAAAAACAAACAAACAAACAAACAAAAAAAGACAAAAGAACCCCAACAGAAUGGAGCCAACUAUCCCACUCGCUGAGUUUGGGUCCCCUUCUUGGAGACGGCAGGGAAUGCAGCAGUUGCCCCCGGCUUAGAGACGUCGCCGGUGAUUUCCAACACGAAAGCAACGUGCUGGCUUUUAUUAAGCGAUCGCUCCAUCACGUUGCCUGAUUACUUUCACUCAGGCUUCCGUCGUCUACAGCCACGACUUGACACAAACAGAACAAAACAAAACAAAACAAGAAAACCACCCCGUAUUCACAGGUAAUCGAAUAGACAUCGGGUGAGCAGCGCAGCGUUCCGUGUGCCGUCGAAGGAGGAGAUCGGCCCCUCCCUGCAGCCUCUGCCCCACCGUCCCGAGCAGCCCCGGCCCCACCGCCUUCGGAUGCGGCCGCCUCGGGUGGGCCCGGCUGCGCUGGACAGCAAACUCCGCGCAAUGCCCGCGCAAAUCCCGCGCAAAAGCCCCACGAGAUCCUGUAAAAGGAAUGCGGGGAGCAUCGGCUCCCGUCUGGGAUAUAGACCGCCAUGGGCGGCGGGGGGAGAGAGUUAAAGUCUCUGGAUGGGAAAGGGUAGCGGGACUGGGAAGAAAGAAAAGAAGAAGAAAAAGAAAAGAAGGGGAAAAAUAAUAAAAGAGGGAAAAAAAUAAGAAGGAAAAAGAAGAAAAGGGAAAAGGAAAGGAAAGGAAAGGAAAGGAAAGGAAAGGAAAGGAAAGGAAAGGAAAGGAAAGGAAAGGAAAGGAAAGGAAAGGAAAGGAAAGGAAAGGAAAGGAAAGGAAAGGAAAGGAAAGGAAAGGAAAGGAAAGGAAAGGAAAGGAAAGGAAAGGAAAGGAAAGGAAAGGGAAAAAGAGGAGAGGAGAGGAGAGGAGAGGAGAGGAGAGGAG
ensembl:lncRNA